AUGGAGAACGCGCACACAAAGACAGUGGAGGAGGUGCUGGGCCACUUCGGCGUCAACGAGAGCACAGGGCUGAGCCUGGAGCAGGUCAAGAAGCUCAAGGAGAGAUGGGGCUCCAACGAGUUACCGGCUGAAGAAGGAAAAACCUUGCUGGAACUAGUGAUUGAGCAGUUUGAAGAUUUACUAGUUAGAAUUUUAUUGCUGGCAGCAUGUAUAUCUUUUGUUUUGGCUUGGUUUGAAGAAGGUGAAGAAACCAUUACAGCCUUUGUAGAACCUUUUGUAAUUCUACUUAUAUUAGUAGCCAAUGCAAUUGUGGGUGUAUGGCAGGAAAGAAAUGCUGAAAAUGCAAUUGAAGCCCUAAAGGAGUAUGAGCCUGAAAUGGGCAAAGUGUAUCGACAGGACAGAAAGAGUGUACAGCGGAUUAAAGCUAAAGAUAUAGUUCCUGGUGAUAUUGUAGAAAUUGCUGUUGGUGACAAAGUUCCUGCUGAUAUAAGAUUAACUUCCAUCAAGUCUACGACUCUAAGAGUCGACCAGUCCAUUCUCACUGGUGAAUCUGUUUCAGUCAUCAAGCACACUGACCCUGUCCCUGACCCACGGGCUGUCAACCAAGAUAAGAAGAACAUGCUCUUUUCUGGUACAAACAUUGCUGCUGGGAAAGCCAUGGGAGUGGUGGUGGCAACUGGAGUUAACACUGAAAUCGGCAAGAUCCGAGAUGAAAUGGUGGCCACAGAACAGGAGAGAACACCUCUUCAGCAGAAACUGGAUGAGUUUGGCGAACAGCUUUCCAAAGUCAUCUCUCUCAUUUGCAUUGCAGUCUGGAUCAUAAACAUUGGGCACUUUAAUGAUCCAGUGCACGGGGGCUCCUGGAUCCGAGGUGCUAUCUACUACUUUAAGAUUGCAGUGGCGCUGGCUGUUGCAGCCAUCCCUGAGGGUCUGCCCGCUGUCAUCACCACCUGCCUGGCCCUUGGAACUCGCAGAAUGGCAAAGAAAAAUGCUAUUGUUCGAAGUCUUCCGUCUGUGGAAACCCUUGGUUGUACUUCUGUUAUCUGUUCGGACAAGACUGGUACACUUACUACGAAUCAGAUGUCAGUCUGCAGGAUGUUCAUUCUGGACAAAGUUGAAGGUGACACUUGUUCCCUUAAUGAGUUCACCAUAACUGGCUCAACGUAUGCACCCAUUGGAGAAGUGCAUAAAGAUGAUAAGCCAAUAAAAUGUCAUCAAUAUGAUGGGCUUGUAGAAUUAGCAACCAUUUGUGCUCUUUGUAAUGACUCUGCUUUGGAUUACAAUGAGGCGAAAGGUGUAUAUGAAAAAGUUGGAGAAGCUACAGAGACUGCUCUCACUUGCCUGGUAGAGAAGAUGAAUGUAUUUGAUACCGAAUUGAAGGCUCUUUCUAAAAUAGAACGCGCAAAUGCCUGCAACUCGGUCAUUAAACAGCUAAUGAAAAAGGAAUUUACUUUAGAGUUUUCACGUGAUAGGAAAUCAAUGUCUGUCUACUGCACACCAAACAAACCGAGUCGGACAUCCAUGAGCAAGAUGUUUGUGAAGGGUGCUCCAGAAGGUGUCAUCGACAGGUGUACCCACAUUCGAGUUGGGAGUACCAAGGUCCCCAUGACCCCUGGAGUGAAACAGAAGAUCAUGUCUGUCAUUCGGGAGUGGGGCAGUGGCAGUGAUACGCUGCGGUGCCUGGCCCUGGCCACUCACGACAACCCACUUCGAAGAGAAGAGAUGCAUCUGGAGGACUCUGCCAACUUCAUCAAAUAUGAGACCAACUUGACUUUCGUUGGCUGUGUGGGCAUGCUGGACCCUCCCAGGAUCGAAGUGGCCUCCUCUGUGAAGCUGUGUCGGCAGGCAGGCAUUCGAGUCAUCAUGAUCACGGGGGACAACAAGGGCACCGCCGUGGCCAUCUGUCGCCGCAUCGGUAUCUUUGGCCAGGAUGAGGAUGUGGCGUCAAAGGCUUUUACAGGUCGGGAGUUUGAUGAACUCAGUCCCCCAGCUCAGAGAGAUGCCUGCUUGAAUGCCCGCUGUUUCGCUAGAGUCGAACCUUCUCACAAGUCUAAGAUCGUGGAGUUCCUUCAGUCUUUCGAUGAGAUCACAGCUAUGACUGGUGAUGGUGUGAAUGACGCUCCUGCUCUGAAGAAAGCUGAGAUUGGCAUUGCUAUGGGUUCUGGCACUGCAGUGGCUAAAACUGCCUCCGAGAUGGUCCUGGCAGAUGACAACUUCUCCACCAUCGUGGCUGCCGUGGAGGAGGGACGGGCCAUCUACAACAACAUGAAGCAGUUCAUCCGCUACCUCAUCUCGUCUAAUGUGGGGGAGGUUGUCUGCAUUUUCCUGACAGCAGCCCUUGGGUUUCCCGAGGCUUUAAUUCCUGUACAGCUCCUCUGGGUCAAUCUGGUCACAGAUGGCCUGCCUGCCACUGCGCUGGGCUUCAACCCUCCUGAUCUGGACAUCAUGAACAAACCACCCCGGAAUCCAAAGGAACCACUGAUCAGCGGUUGGCUCUUUUUCCGUUACCUGGCUAUUGGCUGUUAUGUUGGUGCCGCGACUGUGGGUGCUGCUGCAUGGUGGUUCAUCGCUGCCGAUGGUGGUCCCAGAGUGUCCUUCUACCAGCUGAGUCAUUUUCUACAGUGUAAAGAGGACAACCCAGACUUUGCAGGAGUAGAUUGUGCCAUCUUUGAGUCCCCAUACCCGAUGACAAUGGCCCUGUCUGUUCUAGUAACCAUAGAGAUGUGUAACGCCCUCAACAGCCUAUCUGAAAACCAGUCCUUGCUGAGGAUGCCCCCAUGGGAGAACAUCUGGCUCGUGGGGUCCAUCUGCCUAUCAAUGUCCCUCCACUUCCUGAUCCUCUACGUGGAGCCUUUGCCACUCAUCUUCCAGAUCACACCGCUGAACGUGACCCAGUGGCUGAUGGUGCUGAAAAUCUCCCUGCCUGUGAUUCUCAUGGAUGAGACGCUCAAGUUUGUGGCCCGCAACUACCUGGAACCUGGUAAAGAGUGUGUGCAGCCUCCCACCAAAUCCUGCUCGUUUUCGGCAUGCACCGAUGGGAUUUCCUGGCCGUUUGUGCUGCUCAUAAUGCCCCUGGUUGUCUGGGUCUAUAGCACAGACACUAACUUUAGUGAUAUGUUCUGGUCUUGACUGACAGUUCUCCAUCCAGAAGAUGUCUAACUUAAUUUUUUAUUGUUUAAAGCAACUGUCUAUUUCUGCUGAAUUUUCACAUGAACAUAUUGGCUGGUGAAGGAGGUUUCAUACUCUACAUUUUGUUUUGCUUUUUCUGACUCCAGUGGGGCUCAAGAUUUUCCUUUUUUAUACACAUAAUUAAAGUGUCCAUUGACAUGUACAGAGAACUAACACUAUUUUAUGCAAAUAUUUUUUUGUAGAUGAAAAAGCAUGUACAGUGUUCUGUUUAAUACUCAUCCUUGUAUAAAAAAUAGUUGAGCCAGCAGACAUUGUCAGCAAAUUAAUUGGCAGCAGAUUUUAGGAAAUGAAUGUGUGUGGUUUCUAAGAAAAACUAAAUAGCAUGUAUUAUCUUUUGCAUGAUUACCUGGAUUUAAUUUGAGAUCACAGUCUAAUUAUUCAUAAGCCAAUUUUUCUGCACUGAGCAGAGUCCGCUACCUCAGUCAGUAUUUUUGGUUGGCCACUCCCUCACCACCUGCCUCCACUCAACCCCGCUGCCUGCCCCACUCGGCUUCUUAGGGUCUCUAGGGUCUCGGUUCUAUUGACACCGUCUUCGGAGGUAUGCCUGUCUCACUUGUGCAGAAAACAUUGUUCCAGAUUCGGUCAACUGGGGUCGUGUCCCACAUAGUUUUUAAGGUUAUUUAUUUAAAUGUCUAAUGGACUUUAUUGUAACAGACAUUGUUUUGCCAACAUCGCCUAUUUCAGUGGCACUUCACAAUCUAGUUUUAAAAGAAAAAUAAAACAUUUUAAAUGGACAGAAAAAUAACUGUCUUGUUCUUAAGUGGCUUAUCUUGAACUAUCUCAUAGAUAGUCCAUCUUUCUCUUAAGUUGUUUCAGAACUUUAGUUUACUGUGCUUGAGGGCAAGAGGGGUCCUGUUCUGCUGCAUAGGUAGUCGUGGAAAUGUGACUGACAACGUGUGGGUGCACACUGUCAUCUGUCAUGCACAUUUUAUGCAAGUCUCUGCUGGCCUGCGUGUAGCCUGGAAUGUAAGGGAAGUGUGUGUGUCUGUGGGUGUGUGUGUUUUGUAAAAUCUGUAAAUAGCCCAUGACCAAAUGAACAUAUUGUAUAGAACUAUUUUUAUUUGAAUGUGGCACUAACCACCACCAUUAUCUGAGAAGUUUGCGCAUGUUCAAGCUCAGUCUUACAGCAGCGUAUGAGUCAUUAACAGUCCUAACUGUGGUGUUUUCCUCCAAUGCCUUCCAUCAUCCAUCAACUAACCAAUACUGGAGUAACCGCUUCCUAAACCGUUUUGCAGAAAUGUAAGGGUGUUCGGUUCGGUUGCGUGCAUGUGCGUUUUUAGCAACACAUCUACUAGCCUCUGCAUGACUCAUGUUGGGGAAAAGGAAAAGUAGACAGGGUUCCCAGCUCAUUGUGUGUAAUGUGGAGGAAAUGUGUAUUACCAAUGGGGUUUUUAGCUUUUAAAUCAAAAUAAUACUUACAGAUGUACAAUUUAAUGAAAUCAGAAAGCCUUUCCAGAGAAGUUUGGUUUCUUUGCUGCAAGAAGAAUGAGGUUCUGCAACCUUAUCCACGAGCCUAGAAGCAUCAGCCAAGUCUCCGCAUUUCUCUGCAGAUGUCUUAGCUUCUCUAAAUGUACAAUGCUUGGCUGUAAUGCAUGCCUCCGGUGUAAGUAGCCAGAUUUCCCUGCAGUGACACUGAGACCUGCUACUUUUUAAUUGGCCCUGUACAGUUUGCUUAUUUAUAAAUUCAUUUAAAACACUUUACAGGUGUUGAGUGGUUAAAAUGUAGGUCUCAGUUCAUAACCUGUUACUUUUGAGUGUGCAUAGACAGCUAUUUUGCACUGUAUUAAAUGUAACUUAUUUAAUGAAAUCUGAAGCAGUAGACAGAUGUUGGUGCAAUACAAAUAUUGUGAUGCAUUUAUCUUAAUCAGAUGCUAAGCGUCAAUUUAUCACAACGCAUGUUUGACUAGACUGUAAAUAAAGGUCGGUUUUUUCACUUCUGUGCUGGUAACAACAGGUGCUGCACAGAUGUGGUUUCCAGUAAAUAAAUCUAUUCUAUGAUAAAA